rnacentral:misc_RNA from 1 species
AAGACUAUAGACCUGCGGAGUACCUGCGGAAGGAUCAUUACAUGGCGGAGAAGGUGGGCAACCUGGCCAACAUCCAGGUUGUGAUGCCUUCACGCUCUUCCACCCUUGUCUAUUUGCACCUUCUGUCGUUCCCUCGGCGGGUUUCGACCCGCCGGCGGCAACAUUGAAAAACCCUUUUUGCAGUUAGCAUUCAAUUCUUCUGAUCAAAUAUUAAAUCAUUACAACUUUUAGCAAUGGAUC